rnacentral:lncRNA from 1 species
ACUCAAAGGAUGUAUCACAGACACAAUGUACACAAUGUGAUAGAAGAAUAACCCUUUUAUUCAUUUAUAGUCAAAAUUAUAAUUUUGCCCUUAGAUUUGUACAGAAAUGUGUCAGCUGAUCUGGCAUCUAGGACACACAUCUAACAAACUCCCACUUGACCUAAUGCCAAUUGGCUACAUAUCUAAGUCCCAUCUUCUCAAGGUGGGCUUCGAUCUUCUGUUGGCCCAAUGGCUUAGUCAGUGGGUCUGCCACAUUGUCUGUGGAGUCGACUCUCUUGACCUCGACAUAACCCUUUUUGAGG